UACGGGGGGAGCAAGCGUUGUUCGGAUUUACUGGGCGUAAAGGGCGCGUAGGCGGCACCGCAAGUCGACUGUGAAAUCUCCGGGCUUAACCCGGAAAGGUCAGCCGAUACUGCGGGGCUAGAGUGCAGAAGGGGCAACUGGAAUUCUCGGUGUAGCGGUGAAAUGCGUAGAUAUCGAGAGGAACACCUGCGGCGAAGGCGGGUUGCUGGGCUGACACUGACGCUGAUGCGCGAAAGCUAGGGGAGCGAACAGG
rnacentral:rRNA from 1 species